rnacentral:rRNA from 1 species
AUACGGAGGAUCCGAGCGUUAUCCGGAUUUAUUGGGUUUAAAGGGUGCGCAGGCGGGAGAUUAAGUCGGCGGUGAAAUUUUGCAGCUCAACUGUAAAAGUGCCCUCGAAAUUGGUUUCCUUGAGUGUAGAUGAAGUAGGCGGAAUUUGUGGUGUAGCGGUGAAAUGCAUAGAUAUCACGAGGAACUCCGAUUGCGCAGGCAGCUUACUAAACUACUACUGACGCUCAGGCACGAAGGCGUGGGGAUCAAACAGGAUUAGAUACCCUGGUAGUCCACGCAGUAAACGAUGAUUACUAGCUGUUUGCGAUACAAUGUAAGCGGCUGAGCGAAAGCGUUAAGUAAUCCACCUGGGGAGUACGUUCGCAAGAAUGAAACUCAAAUGAAUUGACGGGG